rnacentral:lncRNA from 1 species
GGACAAAGUCAACAUGGCUACCUGUCAAUGUACUUUAAAUACCGCAAAUGCAGGCUACGUGCAGUUGAUUUCCAAUUCUGGAUGAAAAUAAUUAAACUGGAUAAAUUGCUGUGGGACAGUGUUAUGUCAUAACCUAAGAAAAAUAAUUUUCUAAAUAAAAUCCGAGAAUUCAAAUGAAUUCAAGACGUUCUCUUUAUCAAAUUAUUCUAACAAAUACUACUCGAUCAACAUGCUGAUCUAUAUUUUUAAUUCCAAUCUAAAAACGUUAUACCCAAGAGAAGAAGAAGAGUCCAUUACACCAUUGGAUCAAUAGAUAUAUAUUUCAUUUUCUUACGGCUAACUAUUAUAAGAUUUGCAUUAAUUAUGUCAUCCUAAGAUGAGUUGUAUUCUAUAAUAUUAUGUAAAUAGAAUGCAGCUGCAUUAACAAAGAAUAAUCAAGACAAGAAUCUGUUAAAAGGAAAUAUAAAUAAUUUGACUGGAAGUUUCUACUCAUUAUUAUCAAGAUUGAUAAGGAGAAUCCAACAAUACUGCAACUAUGAAAGAUUUUUGAAUGCACUGUUCUUAUUAUACUUGCACUGCGAGAAAAUCAUAUGUAGUAAUAUUCUAUCAAAAGAAUACCAGAACAAAUGUAUCUAUCUUAGUUAUCACAAAAUAAGAAAACAAAUGGCAAAUACAUUAUAUAAGGGAACUCUAUUAUGGAACAAAAUCUUUUUAAUCAAGUUUUGUACACAGUAAUAGAAGAUAUUAUUUUUUCAUUGAUUGACAAGAUAAAAUUUAUGUAUUUGCUAAUAAAUAUCUUAUUUGCAAGGAAUUUCAUGUAAAUUAUUAUGCGAAUAGAAUGCAGCUGCUCUGAUUAAAAAUAAUCUAAACAAUAAUAUGUUUGUUAAGAGUGAUCGCCAACUCUGGAUGAAAAUAGUUACAAAUUGGAUGUAUUGCUGUGUUUUACAAUAGUAUUACGUCAUAACCGAAUUUACUGUCCAACAACAAAACAUAUACACCCACAGAAAUCUGACCACAAUUUCAUAAUAAAAUGCAAAAAAAAUAGAGAAUAAUGGCAAUUGGAGGUAGAAAGAGGAGUGUUGUGGAACCUACAAAAAAAGGAUUUCUUGUAUAAACUGUUGCUGCGACUUAUCAUCGUCGACUGUAUCGACAUAUAAUUUUAUAUAAAUGAACGGGGUGAAUAAUUGGAUCAAAGAAAAUCUACAAGAAGAAAAGGAUUUUGCCUCGACUGUGUCUUUUAUGUUAGAUCAUCAUCAU